AAAAAGUCGUGGAUGGCUGGCAAAAGAGUCUCUCAACUACGCUAAACACGCUUCAUCCCUCAUAAUAUAGCACUCAGAAAAUGUGAAAUUUCACAAAACGUGUAAGAUCAGAUCCAACAUCUGCCCCUUUUCUUUCUUUUAAUUCCUAAUCCACGUUCCCUCUUGUGCCCAACAGCACCCUAUGGAAGCACAAGCAUCACCGCCGCUCUCUGAAAAACCCAAGCCCUCCCUCUCCAGGAAAUCUUCAUCCUGCUCCUCCUUCCGCCUACGUAGCCCUAGCCUCAAUUCCCUCCGUCUCCGCCGCAUCUUUGACCUCUUCGACAAGAAUGGCGAUGGAAUGAUCACAGUCCAGGACCUUAGCCAAGCGCUCAGCCUUCUUGGCCUCGAUGCUGACUUCUCCGAACUUGAAUCUACCAUCAGAUCUCACAUUAGGCCUGGCAAUGAUGCCCUUUUGUUUGAAGAUUUUGUAUCACUUCAUCAAUCGCUGGAUGAAACCUUCUUUACCUACGACGAGGAGAAUACGGAGGAUGUACAGGAUGCAAUGACGCAGGAAGAAUCUGAUCUGUCGGAGGCUUUCAAGGUGUUUGAUGAAGACGGCGAUGGCUACAUUUCUGCACAUGAACUUCAAGUAGUGUUGAAUAAACUUGGAAUGCCCGAAGCUAAGGAGAUCGACAGAGUUCAACAGAUGAUCUGCUCUGUUGAUCGUAAUCACGAUGGCCGUGUCGAUUUCUUCGAAUUUAAGGACAUGAUGAGAAGCGUUAUCGUUCGCAGCUCUUAAUUAAUUAAACCUCUCUCUCUCGUUUUCUUUCUGGAUUUUCUUUUCUUGGUAGUGAGUAGUAGGCACGCAUGGAGAGAGAAUCCAUUGAUGUAGUGAUGGUAAGGCUUCAUGCAUGCAUGUAUAUGUUAAUCUAUGAUUGUGAAAGGAUCCACACAUCUUCAGUUUUUGCUAAAAAC
rnacentral:misc_RNA from 1 species